rnacentral:rRNA from 1 species
UACGUAGGGGGCAAGCGUUGUCCGGAAUCAUUGGGCGUAAAGAGCGUGUAGGCGGCCCGGUAAGUCUGUUGUGAAAGUCCAGGGCUCAACCCUGGAAUGCCGAUGGAUACUGCCGGGCUAGAGUUCGGAAGAGGCGAGUGGAAUUCCUGGUGUAGCGGUGGAAUGCGCAGAUAUCAGGAGGAACACCUAUAGCGAAGGCAGGUCUCUGGGCAUUAACUGACGCUGAGGAGCGAAAGCAUGGGGAGCGAACAGG